rnacentral:rRNA from 1 species
AUUGAACGCUGGCGGCAGGCCUAACACAUGCAAGUCGAGCGCGAAAGUUCUUCGGAAUGAGUAAAGCGGCGGACGGGUGAGUAAUGCAUGGGAAUCUGCCUGGUAGUGGGGGACAACGUCUCGAAAGGGACGCUAAUACCGCAUACGCCCUACGGGGGAAAGGGGGGGAUCUUCGGACCUCUCGCUAUCAGAUGAGCCCAUGUCAGAUUAGCUAGUUGGUGGGGUAAAGGCCUACCAAGGCGACGAUCUGUAACUGGUCUGAGAGGAUGAUCAGUCACACUGGAACUGAGACACGGUCCAGACUCCUACGGGAGGCAGCAGUGGGGAAUAUUGGACAAAGGGCGAAAGCCUGAUCCAGCCAUGCCGCGUGUGUGAAGAAGGCCUUAGGGUUGUAAAGCACUUUCAGUGGGGAGAAAGGCUGUUUACUUAAUACGUAGGCAGAUUGAUGUUACCCACAGAAGAAGCACCGGCUAACUCCGCG